rnacentral:rRNA from 1 species
GACGAACGCUGGCGGCGUGCCUAAUACAUGCAAGUCGAACGAACCGCGACUGAGUGCUUGCACUUGGUCAAGGUGAGUGGCGAACGGGUGAGUAACACGUGGGUAACCUACCUCAUAGUGGGGGAUAACAGUCGGAAACGACUGCUAAUACCGCAUAGGACAUAGGAUCACAUGAUCCAGUGAGGAAAGGUGGCGCAAGCUAUCGCUAAGAGAUGGACCCGCGGUGCAUUAGCUAGUUGGUAGGGUAAAGGCCUACCAAGGCGAUGAUGCAUAGCCGACCUGAGAGGGUGAUCGGCCACAUUGGGACUGAGACACGGCCCAAACUCCUACGGGAGGCAGCAGUAGGGAAUCUUCCGCAAUGGACGCAAGUCUGACGGAGCAACGCCGCGUGAGUGAAGAAGGUCUUCGGAUCGUAAAGCUCUGUUGUUAGAGAAGAACAGCGCAUAGAGUAACUGCUAUGCGUGUGACGAUAUCUAACCAGAAAGCCACGGCUAACUACGUG